UUUUUUUUUUUUUUGAGACAGAGUUUCACUCUUGUUGCCCAGGCUGGAGUGCAGUGGCAUGAUCUUGGCUCACUACAACCUCCACUUCCCAGGUUCAAGCGAUUCUCCUGUCUCAGCCUCCCGAAUAGCUGGGAUUACAGGCACACACCACCAUGCCCAGCAAAUGUGUAAGCUAACGGAUAUUAUGGAAUCACUAAUUCUGGGCUGAUAUUGGCUACCACAGACUUCUUCCAAACGAAAUAACUUCAGGAGGAUUAUAGAAACCUCUUGGUUAUUUGCAAGGUAAAUUUCCUCUUAGGGGAAAACACAAUGCUGCAUCUCAGAUCGUGGAAGCAAACUCACAGACAGUAAGGAAAAGGUACUUUUUGUUAUUAAGAAAUCAGUCUGAGGCCGGGUGCAGUGGCUCACACCUGUAAUCUCAGCACCUUGGGAGGCUGAGGUGGGCAGAUUACCUGAAGUCAGGAGUUUGAGACCAGCCUGGCCAACAUGGUGAAACCCCAUCUCUACUAAAAAUACAAACAUUAGCCGGGCAUGGUGGCACAUGCCUGUAAUCCCAGCUACUAGGGAGGCUGAGGUAGGAGAAUCGCUUGAACCAGGGAGGUAGAGGUUGUGGUGAGCCAAGAUUACGCCAUUGCACUCCAGUCUGGGCAACAAGAGCGAAACUCUGUCUC
rnacentral:lncRNA from 10 species